CCCUUAGAUGUUCUGGGCCGCACGCGCGCUACACUGACGAAUGCAACGAGCUUAUAACCUUGGCCGACAGGCUCGGGCAAUCUUUGAACGCUGGUCGUGAUGGGGAUAGACUUUUGCAAUUUUUGGUCUUCAACGAGGAAUUCCUAGUAAACGCAAGUCAUCAACUUGCAUUGAUUACGUCCCUGCCCUUUGUACACACCGCCCGUCGCACCUACCGAUUGAAUGGUCCGGUGAAGCCUCCGGAUUGGCGCGCACCUCGGUGCCGCCGAGAAGUUGGCUAAACCUUACCAUUUAGAGGAAGGUGAANUCGUAACA
rnacentral:rRNA from 1 species